CUUCACUCUUCCGGAGAAGAGGGUGAGAAAAGAGCCCAUCCUGGUACUCACCGCUAAUUUUACUCCAGAAAUGGAACACGGAUAUGCAGCAUGUUGGGACGACCAAGUAGAAGCCAGACAUGGAGAAAGAAGAGAGAAUGAAAGGAAGUAGCAUCAACAACAGAACUAACUUAAACCUAAGAAUCAACUGACAAGACAUUAAGCUGAUCAUUCAUCACCCUCAGGAACCUCGUUUAAGCUUUCUGAGCUUCAUUGCAUUAACUUGCAAUGCUAUACCAGGAAACAUGAUGAAGUAGUUGGAUGUGCUCCCCUAAACGUGAAAUAUUUGUGAACGAAUGAAGUACAAAUCAGAAUAAUAUAUCAGUUGCCUACCAUUCUGGCAGGUCCUGAGACAGAACUUCCACCAGACUCUGACCAAAAGGGAACGAAAGUCUGUCUACUAAAGCUAUGUUGAAAGCCUCAUGACGUUGCUGGUAUAAUAGGACCAGCCUUCUGGAACUCUGCCACAUGACAGAUGAAAUCUCUAAGUUAGAAGUCUGUGCUUAUAAGCAAUUCUACCUGGGAGAGAACUGAAAUCCUGGACAGGACCUAAUUUUACACCCCUAAUUUUGCAACCAAGAAAGUUAUUUUCUAAUAGUAACAAUUGUGAUGAUAAAAAGGAUAGCUUGUUGAUUCCAUGGUGUGACUCUUAAAGUUUCCGUGUUCAUUGCUCCCAUGUCAAUCGUAAUCCUUUGCUAAUGUCUAAACUUUCACACUUUAAAAUAAGACUAGAAAUACUGUUUCUAUCCCCCAUGACAAAGAAUAAAUGAUUAG